UACGGAGGGGGCUAGCGUUGUUCGGAAUUACUGGGCGUAAAGCGCGUGUAGGCGGCUUUGUAAGUUAGAGGUGAAAGCCCGGAGCUCAACUCCGGAAUUGCCUUUAAGACUGCAUCGCUAGAAUCAUGGAGAGGUUAGUGGAAUUCCGAGUGUAGAGGUGAAAUUCGUAGAUAUUCGGAAGAACACCAGUGGCGAAGGCGACUAACUGGACAUGUAUUGACGCUGAGGUGCGAAAGCGUGGGGAGCAAACAGG
rnacentral:rRNA from 1 species